rnacentral:rRNA from 1 species
CCUACGGGUGGCAGCAGUGAGGAAUAUUGGUCAAUGGACGCAAGUCUGAACCAGCCAUGCAGCGUGCAGGAAGACGGCCCUAUGAGUUGUAAACUGCUUUUGUACGAGGGUAAACGCAGAUACGCGUAUCUGUCUGAAAGUAUAGUACGAAUAAGGGUAGACUCAAUCCGUGCAAGCAGCCGCGGUACUACGGAGGAUUCAAGCGUUAUCCGGAUUUAUUGGGUUUAAAGGGUGCGUAGGCGGUCGGAUAAGUUAGAGGUGAAAGCCCGAGGCUCAACUUCGGAAUUGCCGCUGAUACUGUUCGCCUAGAGAGUAUUUGCGGUAGGCGGAAUGUAUGGUGGAGCGGUGAAAUGCUUAGAUAUCAUACAGAACACCGAUUGCGAAGGCAGCUUACCAAGCUACUUCUGACGUUGAGGCACGAAAGCGUGGGGAGCAAACAGGAUUAGAUACCCUUGUAGUC